rnacentral:lncRNA from 1 species
CAGCCAGGCUUGGGCAGAAUAGACAAUUGAGAGAAUAGGGCAAUAGCCUGGUUUUGGGCGACGAAUAAUAAAUAGGUACGUACCCCCAUCCCAGGCACGGGGCUAUUUUGCCAAUUGAGUUCCUUAGAGAGAGAGUGGUCUCGCGAGAAUCACCUGUGAUCGUGUAAAAUUUAUGUUUCUCUGUCUUAGGAGCUGAAACAUAUAUGGACAUAUCUUGUUUCACAUUUUUCCUUUAUGUAUAAUGAGCGGUGGCUAGGGUUCGGAGUCGGACCUUGUUCAAGCCGGCGGUUUGGGACCACGGGAAAACUCCGUGUGUGGCUAAAGGUGACGACAACUGGUGGUGGAGCGAUUACUGGUCUUGGACACACCGGUGACGUGAAAUCCAGAAGCUCGAAAACUAUAGCCGUCGUGUUCAACGGAGGAGGAAGCUUGCUCCCCUGUCUUCUUUCCCCCAACCGAUUCUCCUCUCCUCUUAGCUUGGUUUUACUUUUAGGAUUAGAACAUUGUGACUGUAACCUAGAAUCUUCUGUUUUUCCGGCGACCGGACUUGUAACGGUUCCCAGAUCCCCUUUUUGAGCUGACACUAUUGAUAUAUUUUAUAUUUUAAAAAAAGCCUUGCAUCAUUAUUUUUACGAUAAGC